UACGUAGGGAGCAAGCGUUGUUCGGAUUUACUGGGCGUAAAGGGCGCGUAGGCGGCAAUUCAAGUCACUUGUGAAAUCUCCGGGCUUAACUCGGAACGGCCAAGUGAUACUGCUGUGCUAGAGUGCAGAAGGGGCAAUCGGAAUUCUUGGUGUAGCGGUGAAAUGCGUAGAUAUCAAGAGGAACACCUGAGGUGAAGACGGGUUGCUGGGCUGACACUGACGCUGAGGCGCGAAAGCCAGGGGAGCAAACGGG
rnacentral:rRNA from 1 species